rnacentral:rRNA from 1 species
AGACCCGAAACCCGGUGAUCUAGCCAUGGGCAGGUUGAAGGUUGGGUAACACUAACUGGAGGACCGAACCGACUAAUGUUGAAAAAUUAGCGGAUGACCUGUGGCUGGGGGUGAAAGGCCAAUCAAACCGGGAGAUAGCUGGUUCUCCCCGAAAGCUAUUUAGGUAGCGCCUCGUGAAUUCAUCUCCGGGGGUAGAGCACUGUUUCGGCUAGGGGGCCAUCCCGGCUUACCAACCCGAUGCAAACUGCGAAUACCGGAGAAUGUUAUCACGGGAGACACACGGCGGGUGCUAACGUCCGUCGUGAAGAGGGAAACAACCCAGACCGCCAGCUAAGGUCCCAAAGUCAUGGUUAAGUGGGAAACGAUGUGGGAAGGCCCAGACAGCCAGGAUGUUGGCUUAGAAGCAGCCAUCAUUUAAAGAAAGCGUAAUAGCUCACUGGUCGAGUCGGCCUGCGCGGAAGAUGUAACGGGGCUAAACCAUGCACCGAAGCUGCGGCAGCGACACUCAGGUGUUGUUGGGUAGGGGAGCGUUCUGUAAGCCUGUGAAGGUGGCCUGUGAGGGUUGCUGGAGGUAUCAGAAGUGCGAAUGCUGACAUAAGUAACGAUAAAGCGGGUGAAAAGCCCGCUCGCCGGAAGACCAAGGGUUCCUGUCCAACGUUAAUCGGGGCAGGGUGAGUCGACCCCUAAGGCGAGGCCGAAAGGCGUAGUCGAUGGGAAACGGGUUAAUAUUCCCGUACUUGGUGUUACUGCGAAGGGGGGACGGAGAAGGCUAUGUUGGCCGGGCGACGGUUGUCCCGGUUUAAGCGUGUAGGUGUGUGUUCCAGGUAAAUCCGGUUCACUUUAACACUGAGGCGUGACGACGAGGCACUACGGUGCUGAAGCAACAAAUGCCCUGCUUCCAGGAAAAGCCUCUAAGCAUCAGGUAACAUCAAAUCGUACCCCAAACCGACACAGGUGGUCAGGUAGAGAAUACCAAGGCGCUUGAGAGAACUCGGGUGAAGGAACUAGGCAAAAUGGUGCCGUAACUUCGGGAGAAGGCACGCUGACAUGUAGGUGAAGUGAUUUACUCAUGGAGCUGAAGUCAGUCGAAGAUACCAGCUGGCUGCAACUGUUUAUUAAAAACACAGCACUGUGCAAACACGAAAGUGGACGUAUACGGUGUGACGCCUGCCCGGUGCCGGAAGGUUAAUUGAUGGGGUCAGCGCAAGCGAAGCUCCUGAUCGAAGCCCCGGUAAACGGCGGCCGUAACUAUAACGGUCCUAAGGUAGCGAAAUUCCUUGUCGGGUAAGUUCCGACCUGCACGAAUGGCGUAAUGAUGGCCAGGCUGUCUCCACCCGAGACUCAGUGAAAUUGAACUCGCUGUGAAGAUGCAGUGUACCCGCGGCAAGACGGAAAGACCCCGUGAACCUUUACUAUAGCUUGACACUGAACAUUGAGCCUUGAUGUGUAGGAUAGGUGGGAGGCUUUGAAGUGUGGACGCCAGUCUGCAUGGAGCCGACCUUGAAAUACCACCCUUUAAUGUUUGAUGUUCUAACGUGGACCCGUAAUCCGGGUUGCGGACAGUGUCUGGUGGGUAGUUUGACUGGGGCGGUCUCCUCCUAAAGAGUAACGGAGGAGCACGAAGGUUGGCUAAUCCUGGUCGGACAUCAGGAGGUUAGUGCAAUGGCAUAAGCCAGCUUGACUGCGAGCGUGACGGCGCGAGCAGGUGCGAAAGCAGGUCAUAGUGAUCCGGUGGUUCUGAAUGGAAGGGCCAUCGCUCAACGGAUAAAAGGUACUCCGGGGAUAACAGGCUGAUACCGCCCAAGAGUUCAUAUCGACGGCGGUGUUUGGCACCUCGAUGUCGGCUCAUCACAUCCUGGGGCUGAAGUAGGUCCCAAGGGUAUGGCUGUUCGCCAUUUAAAGUGGUACGCGAGCUGGGUUUAGAACGUCGUGAGACAGUUCGGUCCCUAUCUGCCGUGGGCGCUGGAGAACUGAGGGGGGCUGCUCCUAGUACGAGAGGACCGGAGUGGACGCAUCACUGGUGUUCGGGUUGUCAUGCCAAUGGCACUGCCCGGUAGCUAAAUGCGGAAGAGAUAAGUGCUGAAAGCAUCUAAGCACGAAACUUGCCCCGA